rnacentral:rRNA from 1 species
GAUGAACGCUGGCGGCGUGCCUAAUACAUGCAAGUCGAGCGAAUGGAUUAAGAGCUUGCUCUUAUGAAGUUAGCGGCGGACGGGUGAGUAACACGUGGGUAACCUGCCCAUAAGACUGGGAUAACUCCGGGAAACCGGGGCUAAUACCGGAUAACAUUUUGAACCGCAUGGUUCGAAAUUGAAAGGAGGCUUCGGCUGUCACUUAUGGAUGGGCCCGCGUCGAAUUAGCAAGUUGGUGAGGUAACGGCUCACCAAGGCAACGAUGCGUAGCCUACCUGAGAGUGUGAUCGGCCACACUGGGACUGAGACACGGCCGAGACUCCUACGGGAGGCAGCAGUAGGGAAUCUUCCGCAAUGGACGAAAGUCUGACGGAGCAACGCCGCGUGAGUGAUGAAGGCUUUCGGGUCGUAAAACUCUGUUGUUAGGGAAGAACAAGUGCUAGUUGAAUAAGCUGGCACCUUGACGGUACCUAACCAGAAAGCCACGGCUAACUACGUGCCAGCCGCCGCGGUAA